rnacentral:hammerhead_ribozyme from 1 species
AUCUAGCUGAAGAGUCCCAAACAGGACGAAAUGCACUUCUUGGAU